UUCUAAGUAUAACCUGCCAGACAGGGAAACUGCGUACGGCUCAUUACACCAGCCUUAAUUUACUUGACCUUGACAACCUACUUGGAUAACUGUGGUAAUUCUAGAGCUAAUACAUGCACCAAAGCUCCGAUCCUCGCGGAGAGGAGCGCAUUUGUUCGCCACAAAACCAAGCGCCCAUCUGGGCGUCCAGUGCUGAACCAGAACAACUCAGCUGAUCGCACGGUCUUGUACCGGCGACGUGUCUUUCAAGUGUCUGCCUUAUCAACUUUCGAUGGUAGUGUACCUGACUACCAUGGUUGUGACGGGUAACGGAGGAUAAGGGUUCGACUCCGGAGAAGGGGCCUGAGAAAUGGCCACUACGUCUAAGGAUGGCAGCAGGCGCGCAAAUUACCCACUCUCAACGCGAGGAGGUAGUGACGAGAAAUAACGAGACCGUUCUCAUACGAGGCCGGUUAUUGGAAUGGGUACAAUUUAAA
rnacentral:rRNA from 1 species